UGAAUGUUGACCCGGGUUGUUGCUGGCCCGGAGGGGCAUUGUGCACACCCAUCACUUUCGUUCAUCCCUGUGCACCCACUGUAGAUGUUGCUGUGUCACAUCUAUGUCUUUUUCCACACACUCUACGUAGACCGCGAAUGUGGAUCAGAUCCUCAGGAUCUAUGUUUAUACAACUUUUAGCAAUGGAUCUCUUGGCUCUCGCAUCGAUGAAGAACGCAGCGAAUUGCGAUAUGUAAUGUGAAUUGCAGAAUUCAGUGAAUCAUCGAAUCUUUGAACGCACCUUGCGCCUUUUGGUAUUCCGAAGGGCAUGCCUGUUUGAGUAUCAAUGAACAAUCAACUUGACAAGUUUUGUGAAGGUUGGACUGUGAGGGCCUGCGGGGUGUCUUUGAUGUCUGCUCCCUUUAAAUUCAUCAGCGGAGGCUUUUCCACUGGCUCUGGAUUGAUAAGUCUGUCUAUUCGUUGUCACUGGCAUGGCCUGCUUCAAAUUGUCCCCCUGUGGACUGUCCUUCUGGGGCAUAUCUUUGAUCUUGAUCUCAAAUCAGGUAGGACUACCCGCUGAACUUAAGCAUAUCAAUAAGCGGAGGAAAAGAAACUAACAAGGAUUCCCCUAGUAACUGCGAGUGAAGCGGGAAGAGCUCAAAUUUGAAAUCUGGCAGCCCGGCUGUCCGAGUUGUAGUCUAGAGAAGCAUUAUCCGCGCCGGCCCAUGUACAAGUCUCUUUGAACAGAGCAUCAUAGAGGGUGAUAAUCCUGUCUCUGACAUGGAUUUCCGGGGCUUUUGUGAUAUGCUCUCAAUGAGUCGAGUUGUUUGGGAAUGCAGCUCUAAAUGGGUGGUAAAUUCCAUCUAAAGCUAAAUAUGGGCGAGAGACCGAUAGCGAACAAGUACCGUGAGGGAAAGAUGAAAAGAACUUUGGAAAGAGAGUUAAACAGUACGUGAAAUUGCUAAAAGGGAAACGCUUGAAGUCAGUCAUGUUGGUUAAGGAUCAGCCUUGCUUCUGCUGGGUGUACUUCUUGAUCGAUGGGUCAGCAUCAGUUUUGACCACCAUAUAAAGACCCAAAGAAUGUGGCAUCUCCGGAUGUGUUAUAGCUUUGGAAUCAGAUGUGGUGGUUGAGACUGAGGAACUCAGCACCACCUCUAUGGUCGGGGGUU
rnacentral:rRNA from 1 species